AAGUCGUAACAAGGUCUCCGUUGGUGAACCAGCGGAGGGAUCAUUACAAGAGCGCCGAAAGGCUGCUUAUAACCAUCGCGAACCUAUCCAUCAGCGUUGCUUCGGCGGGAGCGCUCGCGGGACCGGAUCUUGUCCAGGCCCCGGGCCGUGGACCUGCGCCCUCCGGGGUGUGGGGCCGCCCGCCGGAGGUACGAAACUCUGCAUCUUUGUGAUAUCUCUGAGUAAACAAGCAAAUAAGCUAAAACUUUCAACAACGGAUCUCUUGGUUCUGGCAUCGAUGAAGAACGCAGCGAAAUGCGAUAAGUAAUGUGAAUUGCAGAAUUCAGUGAAUCAUCGAAUCUUUGAACGCACCUUGCGCCCGCCAGUAUUCUGGCGGGCAUGCCUGUCCGAGCGUCAUUUCAACCCUCAAGCCCCCGGGCUUGGUGUUGGAGAUCGGCGAGCCCUCCGGGGCGCGCCGCCUCCCAAAUUUAGUGGCGGUCUCGCUGUAGCUUCCUCUGCGUAGUAGCACACCUCGCACUGGGAAACAGCGUGGCCACGCCGUAAAACCCCCCACUUCUGAAAGGUUGACCUCGGAUCAGGUAGGAAUACCCGCUGAACUUAA
rnacentral:rRNA from 1 species